UACGGGGGGGGCAAGCGUUGUUCGGAAUUACUGGGCGUAAAGGGCGCGUAGGCGGCCUACUAAGUCGGACGUGAAAUCCCUCGGCUCAACCGGGGAACUGCAUCCGAUACGGCGGGACUGGAGUGUGGGAGAGGUUGGUGGAAUUCCCAGUGUAGAGGUGAAAUUCGUAGAUAUUGGGAAGAACACCGGUGGCGAAGGCGGCCAACUGGACCACAACUGACGCUGAGGCGCGAAAGCGUGGGGAGCAAACAGG
rnacentral:rRNA from 1 species